rnacentral:lncRNA from 1 species
GUAUAAUGAAUGCAGGGUGUGCGUGUGCGCGCUGGAUGACGUGUGUGUGAGUGCUGGAUGAUGUGUGUGUGUGUGCUGGAUGAUGUGUGUGCGAGUGCUGGAUGAUGUGUGUGUGUGUGCUGGAUGAUGUGUGUGUGUGUGUGCUGGAUGAUGUGUGUGUGUGUGUGCUGGAUUAUGUGUGUGUGAGUGCUGGAUGAUGUGUGUGAGUGCUGGAUGAUGUGUGUGUGAGUGCUGGAUGAUGUGUG